CCACUUCCCCCAGUGGCUCCGGCGGGGCGCAUCUUGCGCGGAGCAGGCACUGGGGGAGGGGAGAAGGGGGCGCCAUAUCUAGCCGGCUUUUGGAUUUUUUUUGUUUGUUUGUUUAGUUCGAGAACUUCAAACUUGAGUCUUAAAAAAAAGUUUAAGAAGGAGGGGAAAAAAGCCAAGCGCGGGCGGGCAAGAAGGCCCCCCCGCGGCGGCCGGGCUGAGGCCGGGCGCGAACUCAUCGCAGGCGCGCGUCGGCACUGCCGCUUUAAGCAGCCUUGCCCAUUGUUUGCCCCCCGACCAAUGGCGGCGGCGCUGCCCGCUGGGCGCGGCCAAUGAGCGGCGCGCAGGGCAGGCGCGGCGCCGCCCCCGGCUCUAUAAGAGGGGCCGCGGCGCCGCGUGAGCCCUCCACUGCGCGGCCAAGGCCAUCUUUGCAUUGUUCGCUGCGCUGCGCCUGCGCCUGCGCCCGACCGCGCGGGGCUAUUUUUAUACAGAGCUAUUUUGUACCCGCCCGCACCGCACCAUGUCGGACACGGCCGUGGACACCAGCGCCGAGAUCUCCGCCAAGGAUCUAAAAGAGAAGAAGGAAGUCGUGGAAGAGACGGAAAACGGCAGAGAUGCGCCCGCCAACGGCAAUGCUGUGAGGAAGAGGACGGUGACGAAGACGACGAAGCCGAGGGGGCCACAGGCAAACGGGCGGCUGAGGACGAUGAGGUGAGCGGGGAUGGAUCCCAGGCGCUUUGCUGGAGCAGAGCUGGCCGGGUCCCCCGGAGGGAUCCACCGGGGCACGUGUGGGCCAGGGAGCCUGGCUGGGCUCUUGGAGCCCAGCUCCUGCCCCCAUCCCGGGCACGGCUCUCGCGUUUGCCUCCGGGGUGCUGCCCUCGGGGACUCAGCCCGCUUCCAUUUGUACCCGUGGCCUGCUUAGGAGCGCCCUCGGCUGCAGCCGGAGCAGCCCGUGCUCCCGCGCUGGGAUGGCACAGCUGGGAGGGGAGUCUUCCUCCACGCUCUGCUGGCAGCUGGGGAAGGGGCUGGCGCAACCCCGGAUGCCCUGGCUGGGUUAGGAAGGGGACGAGGGGGGUGACGGACGCUGAACCCCAGCACAAUGGUGCUGGGAGCCGGCUCUGCCCUCUCCAGCCCUUGGCCUCUCCUGGGCAGUGCCAGCGGCACGUCAAAGGGUGCAAGAGACGGGGCUGGUGCGGGCAAGACGGCUGCUUCCUGAGGAGAGCGGCAGCUCGCUGGGUACCUCGGGUGGGGUCUGCGCAGAGCCAGGUGCACAGAAAGGCCACUCGGAUAAGGCCCCUUAUCUCCGCGCGGGAGAGGAAGCCGAAAACCCGCCUCCAGGAGCAAAGGCUGAAUCCCUUCUUGCUGGGGCUGGCAGGGAGGCAGAGGGAACCACGGUCCUUGGCCCCUCGUGGCCGCCCCAGAGCUGGGCAGGAUGGGGCAUUUGGGCUCCCUAAAACUGCAGGGCAAAGAGGUGCCAAGGGGGCAGC
rnacentral:lncRNA from 1 species